rnacentral:rRNA from 1 species
GAUUAACGCUGGCGGCGUGCCUAAUACAUGCAAGUCGAGCGAACAGAUGAGGAGCUUGCUCCUCUGACGUUAGCGGCGGACGGGUGAGUAACACGUGGAUAACCUACCUAUAAGACUGGGAUAACUUCGGGAAACCGGAGCUAAUACCGGAUAAUAUAUUGAACCGCAUGGUUCAAUAGUGAAAGACGGUUUUGCUGUCACUUAUAGAUGGAUCCGCGCCGCAUUAGCUAGUUGGUAAGGUAACGGCUUACCAAGGCAACGAUGCGUAGCCGACCUGAGAGGGUGAUCGGCCACACUGGAACUGAGACACGGUCCAGACUCCUACGGGAGGCAGCAGUAGGGAAUCUUCCGCAAUGGGCGAAAGCCUGACGGAGCAACGCCGCGUGAGUGAUGAAGGUCUUCGGAUCGUAAAACUCUGUUAUUAGGGAAGAACAAAUGUGUAAGUAACUAUGCACGUCUUGACGGUACCUAAUCAGAAAGCCACGGCUAACUACGUG